rnacentral:lncRNA from 1 species
CGCAGAGCACAGAGAUGGGCAUGGUGACCAGUGGAGGGAGGAGGACUACGUCGUCGGAGGUGGCGUCGGCGGCAACCGACGAGCAUGAUGCCCUGAUGGUCGUGGAGCUAGAUGGGAGAUGGCAGUGAGGAGAUGCCCUGAUGGUCGUGGAGCUAGAUGGAAGGUGGCAGUGAGGAGAACGGAGAGGAGGGCGGCAAGGAGAACGAGGAGGUUCGAAACCAAAAAAAAAGAAAACACCUUAGGGAGAUUGGAGGAGGAAGGGCGACACCGGUGACGGUGGAGAGGAAGGCGACGGUGG